ACCUGUAGACAUUUUACAGGAAUGGUACAAUCAAUCACUGGUGUUUCUAACAGACUUUUUGGUAAAACUAAGAUUGACAAGUGGUAGUCAGACCACCUAAUGGGUGAUCAAUAAUCCAGUAAUCAAUUAAAUUUAAUGUCCAUGCAACAAGUUUGGAAGAGCUGCACCAGGACAUUUCCCUUAUGAGGAAGGUUUCAAGUACGGCUCUAAAAGACAAAAAACAUCCAAUUCCUUCCCUCCCCCAAAAUUUAUGAAAUCUAUAACAUUCUCUCCGUAGGAAUAGAUUGUUAUUCUGACUCCAUUGCCACAAAAUCAAUAUGCUUCACUGCAAUGGCUAUAUAAUUUCGUCCUUUUCCAUUCACUUCCUACUCAUACUUAGGACUUUCAUGUCUAAAGCUCCUAGAGACCCAACACCAUGCCUUCAACUAAGUUGCAAAGUUCUGAUGAAGAAAUAUUUGAAGUUGAUGUGGAAAUUCCCAAUCUGUGACUAUCAAGACCAUGUUGGAAGAUUUGGGAAUGGAUGCUGAAGGAGAUGAUGAUCCAGUUCCUCUACCAAAUGUUAAUGCAGCAAUAUUAAAAAAAAAAAAAAAAAGUUAUUCAGUGGUACACCCACCACAAGGAUGGCCCUCUUCCUCCUCCUCCGCCUCCUCCUCCUCCUCUUGAGGAUGAUGAGAAUGAAGAGAAUCGAACAAAUGAUAUCCCUGUUUGGGAACAAGAAUUCCUGAAAGUUGACCAAGGAACACUUUUUGAACUUAUUCUAGCUGCAAACUACUUAAACAUAAGGUCUCCUUGAUGUUACAUACAAGACUGUUGCCAAUAUGAUCAAGGUGAAAACUCCUGAGGAGAUUGAUAAGACCUUCAAUAUAAAAAAUUAUUUUACUGAAGAAGUAGAAGCCCAGGUACGCAAAAAGAACCAGUGGUGUGAAGAGAAGUGAAAUGCUGUG